UGGCGGCCGCCUCGGCGCUGCCGGCCCGGCCCGGCGUACGGGGAGCGGCGCGGUUACCCUCGUGAGACCGGCUCGGGACGGGACGGGCCCGGCCGGCGGGCCGCCUCGGUACUCGCAGGUCAGCGGCGGGGGAGCGCCUUCCCUGUGCUGGGAGCGGGGCUGCCCGGCCCUUCCUCGGGGGCUGCCCGGCUCUUGACGAGCUCCGCGGCGGGGCUGGGUCGGGGGCUGCGGGGCGCCGUGGGGACGGAUCCGCAAAGCUGGCAGGACUCGGCAGUGGGGAUGUUUGGUCUGAGGACGAGCUGAGGAGGGAAGCAGUUUGUAAACGAGUGGAAUUAGAGUGAGGAAAUUCUGCAACGCGAAGCUGGGAGACUGCAUCGACAGAAGGGAGGCUUGGAACAUCCAUGUGCCAACAAGAUGAAGUAAAGCUAAGAUUAAUGGGAUUUGGUGAUGCAAAUAGAAGGCAGUGGUGAUCUCUGCAAGUAGAGCUCCCCGGCUUGGCAGCAAAUUAGGGGUCGGAGCGGUAGGCAGCAGGAUGGCGGCAUGCUGCUGCUGUGAGGGGGCUCAGAAAGUACGUGAGUGAAAAGGCCGUCCUCUGGAACUGCUACGGGAGGGCCUCCGCUGGCUGUGCAAAAUACUGAUGUCAGAUUGCAUGGCUGCCUGAGACCGUAUCCUUAUCUGCGGCCCAACUGAUUGCCCACACUCAGAUAAACGGUUCUGAACAGACGCAGAAUAGGGCUGUGGAUGUUAAGAGGAAUGAAGAGUCUGCGUGCUGGGAGACACAACAGUUAGAAGUUGUGUGUUUUUUAUGUAUGGGAGGAAAGGAACUUGCAAGCUCGAGGUUAGCAGAAGCAAGCUAAAAAAAAAGUGAGCACAGUUUACUGGAAAUGGCAAGAAAAGUUCUCACUGUUGUUCUGUAAAUGCUCUGGAGAGGUUUCAAAUGGGCAGGAAAACUGAAUUGCUUUUAAAAUUAAGUUUGAAAAAAUCAGAAAAGAUGAGUGUGUGGUUCUGCAGAGCAGUGGGGAGUUUGGCUCAGGAAUGCUGGAUGUCCCAUCUGUUAGUUCAGUGCUCUCGUGACCCGGCAAAAUGGACUAUGAGACGGAUGAGUACUUCUGCAGUGGGCCCAUUGUGGUACGGCUGUUGUCGUCAUGCUUUCCUUUUCCAUUAUUCAAGUUCUUUUUCUUUGGGACCCUUACCAGAAGCAGAGUAGUUCAAUUAUAUUCACUACCAGAUGCCUCUCGUGUGUAUGUUCGGCAGUACGCUAACAGAAAGGAAGCUGUGUUCUUUACCUUGCUCACUUCACCGUGUGAAGUCUCUGUACAUUUCCACUCUUAUAUGUGGAAUAACUGUCGAGGUGUACUCACACAGCUCUGCAGGACUUUCUGUCCCCGGGCGUGCUAUUCGUAGAAGUCCUCGUGGAACAAUUUUUAGGAAAAUAUUUAAAUGAAAAACUUGAAGUCAUCUGGGGCAAGGCAAUAUUGCAUUCAUGAAUGUAUGUAUAAUCAGCUCCCUUGGGAUGUUACCUGAGACUUAUAUCUAUUUUCUGCUUUUAUUUUUAGAGUCUGUGGUUUUUACGUACCACGCUUAGUGCAGCACCAACAGAUUAACAGAAGAACCUUGAAAUUGCAGAAUGUUGCUCCUCACACCAAGGCUGCCAUGGUCCAGGCAGACAUUUUAGAUUCUUACCUGGCACCAUUGCUAUCUGGGGUAUCUCCACAACACAGGAAAUUAAACGAUCAUUGCUCAGCCAUCGUUUUUCAUUUUAUCUGCUAGUCCACAACUGACCCAGGUUAUUCAGAGAGAAGAAAAAAAUGUUUUAUGGAGGUAGCAUCCCAUUCAGUGGUCAGUAGAAAACUAAGUGAGCGAAUCGCUCUCUUCAUCAACGCAUGCGUUAAGUGCUUCCAGUGGCUCUUCUUCUAGUUGCUGAAACCGAGUAGUGAAUGGAUUAUAGGGAUUAAACUUCUUUCAUUCCCCUAGAGGUGAGCAAGUCAUGUGAAAAUGAAAGGCUUAUUUGGUAGAAGACAGUAUGAAAGACUGGGAAUACAAAAAUAUAUAUGUAUUAUCUCUAAAUGGCUUCUUGCACACUUUGUCUAUAAUAGAUGGUAGUAUGUGAGCUGCAGACAGAAACUUGAGGCUCGCAGGGCAGAAAUGUGACUGUGAACUGAAUCUACGAGUAUGGAAUGAAACAUGCUUGGUCAUUAUUGAAACUGGAUUUCUGAAACAUUUUUCUUUCAUCAUAAAUCUGAUAUUUCUGAAGAAAAACAUACCUGUUCUUAGCAUAUGUUUUCUCUUUUUCUUCUCUUGACCUAUUUGAAUUAGGAGGAAGUUGCCUUUCCCACUGUAGUGCUGGGAACACAGUAUAAGGGCUACAGCAAAGGAAUAUUUUCUGUCUUGAAGUGCUCAGGUCAUCCUGCAAGGCAUUCCGCUGCAAAAGGAGUCACUUUCACCGGUGUCACCAGUUACUGUCGUCCUCUUAUGCUGAUGUUUCCAGAGGGGUGGCGUUUCAUACCCCCUGAAUAGGUGGCCUUCUACAUGGGAGCGUUAUUCUGGUGUCUUUUGUCUCUUAUGUAGUUUACUUCCUCAUGUUCCGAGAAUGAAAAACAGUCAAAGGAGAGGAAACGAUAGACUAGCUCCCUUAGAAGAGCCUCUCCUAGGAAAAAAUAGCUCAGAACCCCUAAAAUGAUCAUACAGUUGGUAGAAAAGCUGCUGGAUGUUGUCGUUAUAGCAGCAUCUACAGGAAUAGAAAUAGCAAGAAGAGAAGAGGAAGGCUGGCAUUCCCUCGCUCUCUCUCCAACUUGUGAAAAUUUUAGGAAGGAAAUUUACAUAUUUUGGAGCUACAUUUUCUGCAGUGCCUUCUUAUGCAGAAGGAAAGUUAAUCAAGCUAUCUUAUUAGAUAAAAGUAUUUUCUGUACUUGUUUCAGAGAGGUGGUGGUCGUUUCUGUGGAAGGGGUUCAAAUGAUUACCACCAUUCUUAACUGUUGUAUUCAGGGAGAUGACAGCUUGAUUUAAACUAUGAAGGUGUGAUGAGUUUUGCUCUCCCACCGCCAUGCACAAAGAAGCACUCAGAGAAGACAGACUUAAGUGGUUUGAGCCAGGCAGCGGUCUGCUACCAUAAAUUCCCCAACAUUGUAUUGCCCUUUGAUGCUUCAGUUACAAUCCCUGAAUGGAAGACUGGAGCAUGUGGUUGUCUUUUUGGCAUCUGAAGCUGAGGCUGCCGAGUUGCCUGCCUGGGACAUUAGUGAGACUAUCUGCCUCUUAAGGAUACGCAACAGAUUUUCUCUUAGCUCCUGUCCCUACUAGUGCUCUACUUAACUCUGUGCCAAGACACUGGCAGUGGUCAAUACAGAAAAACUCCUGGAAGUACCAGGUUGUGGCGGGGCACCAGGACCAUCCAGCAUGUGAAUGUUUGAGGAGGCGCUGGAGGAACAAGGACUUCCCUAAAGGAUGUGACAGCAAAGCUACUCCACUGGAAUAUGGAAGAAGGGAAGCAGUUAUGUGGAAGAGAUGAAGUGCCGUGUGAUUCCUGUCCCACGGAUAGGAUCCAGCUGGUGCUAGACAAAGUCUGUCAGUGACAGCACUUGGAUUGGAUGGAGUUGGGCCACCUUCCAUGCGAUGGAGCAACGUAGCUAAGCUGUAGGUUGCCUUAUGCUUGCAACACUGCAACCCCGAGGAAGUCUGCAUCUGCAGAGAUCUGCCUUCAUGCCUGGACUGAUAAGCGACGCUGGGGAAGCGUCUUGGCCAGAUGCUGCUGCAGUAUCCCGCCUCCUCAUCGCAUCGCCCUCUGGAAGACAGAAGUGACGAUCAGCAGCGUGGUGUUGUCCUGCAGGCAGCUGAAGAACCACUUUGACAGCAAGCAGGAGAACAACUAUGCAGUGUAAUCACAGCCUGUCUGUGCUCUUUCUAACAGUGUACAUGAGCACCCUAUUCCCAGCGAGGGGAUGCUGUAACCUCCCCCUGCUGACCUGUAUUCUUCUCCGUUACUGUAACCAAGCUGUUUCUUUCCCACAGCCACGCGUUCCUGCAGAUAUACCAAGGGUUCCCAUGCAGAUAGGUUUACAAAUUCAGGAAGGGCUUGGACAGAGCAAAAGGAGAAUGAAGUAAUUCCCAAAUAUUUGCACUGUGGCUGAUGAAAUUAGCAGGAGAGCUGAGUGGGUGUAUAGGGGUCUGCUGGGGGACGGAUGGAAGGAAACCUGGGGACAAACUGUCUCCUGUUCGACGUGCUCUGAGUGCUGUGUGAUAAAGGUGAAUCACCCAGCUUAGCUGCAGGUGAGCCAGCAGGACAGUGGCUGGGGCCGGGUCCCACUGCAGCCUGUGUGGGGGCUGUGUGCUGGGUCCGGUGGGCUUUGAAUCCCACCACAAAGACAGUGGCUGUCGACAAGGUCACGAACGCAGAGCUUCGCCUUCUGUUGAUUAUGUGGUUGUCAGUGGAAGAAUUACUGUGUAUCUAUGGGAAAUGUUAAAAAACAACAACGCCUUUUUUUCUUGAAUAAAUCUGUGAAACGAACCAACCUUUGUUUCUGUUCUGUUUCUUUGGGUUUCAUUCCCUUUGCGCUUAGCGACCCAUCGCUGUCCAACCCCCCCCC
rnacentral:lncRNA from 1 species